rnacentral:rRNA from 1 species
GACAGAGGGUGCAAACGUUGUUCGGAAUUACUGGGCGUAAAGCGCGUGUAGGCUGCUCUGCAAGUCGGGUGUGAAAGCCCCGGGCUCAACCUGGGAAGUGCACUCGAAACUGCAGAGCUUGAGUCCUGGAGAGGAAGGCGGAAUUCUCGGUGUAGAGGUGAAAUUCGUAGAUAUCUGGAGGAAUACCGGUGGCGAAGGCGGCAUCCUGGACCGGCAUUGACGCUGAGGAGCGAAAGCUAGGGGAGCAAACGGG